UAAAAUAUAGUUUUUAUCCUCAUUUGCGAAAUUUUAAUCUAAGUGAAAAUACUUAGCAGUUGUACUAGGACGAGAAGACCCUAUGAAGCUGGCAAACUAUUAAUAUAUAUUCCUAUUAUUUAUUAGUUUAUUUUUUGGGGUAAAAUUUAAUAAUACUAUUAACACAAUUGUACUAAAUUACAUCCUUUAGGAAUUAUGAAGAAGCUCCUCUAGGGAUAACAGCAUUAUGCUUAAAAGAGUUCUUAUCAGAAUAAGCGUUUGUGACCUCGAUGUUGAAUUAAAUGCUCUUUUAUGUGCAGGAGCUUAGAAGAGACGGUCUGUUCGACCUAUUAUAUUUACAUGAUUUGAGUUAAAAUCGAC
rnacentral:rRNA from 1 species